CUACGGGACGCUGCAGUGAGGAAUAUUGCACAAUGGGCGCAAGCCUGAUGCAGCCAUGCCGCGUGUGUGAAGAAGGCCUUCGGGUUGUAAAGCACUUUCAGUCGUGAGGAAGGUGGUGUUGUUAAUAGCAGCAUCAUUUGACGUUAGCGACAGAAGAAGCACCGGCUAAGUCCGUGCCAGCAGCCGCGGUAAUACGGAGGGUGCGAGCGUUAAUCGGAAUUACUGGGCGUAAAGCGCAUGCAGGUGGUUUGUUAAGUCAGAUGUGAAAGCCCGGGGCUCAACCUCGGAAUAGCAUUUGAAACUGGCAAGCUAGAGUACUGUAGAGGGGGGUAGAAUUUCAGGUGUAGCGGUGAAAUGCGUAGAGAUCUGAAGGAAUACCGGUGGCGAAGGCGGCCCCCUGGACAGAUACUGACACUCAGAUGCGAAAGCGUGGGGAGCAAACAGGAUUAGAUACCCCUGUAGUC
rnacentral:rRNA from 1 species